UGGGGAAUAUUGCACAAUGGAGGAAACUCUGAUGCAGCGAUGCCGCGUGAGGGAAGAAGGUUUUCGGAUUGUAAACCUCUGUCUUUGGGGACGAUAAUGACGGUACCCAAGGAGGAAGCUCCGGCUAACUACGUGCCAGCAGCCGCGGUAAUACGUAGGGAGCAAGCGUUAUCCGGAAUUACUGGGUGUAAAGGGAGCGUAGGCGGGACUGCAAGUCAGAUGUGAAAAUUAUGGGCUCAACUCAUAACCUGCAUUUGAAACUGUAGUUCUUGAGUGAAGUAGAGGUAAGCGGAAUUCCUAGUGUAGCGGUGAAAUGCGUAGAUAUUAGGAGGAACAUCAGUGGCGAAGGCGGCUUACUGGGCUUUUACUGACGCUGAGGCUCGAAAGCGUGGGGAGCAAACA
rnacentral:rRNA from 1 species